rfam:Thermocladium sp. ECH_B, whole genome shotgun sequence.
UCGCCUGCAUCAAGAAGCCGCCUGGUGGAUGGCUUGGCUCGGGCGCCGAGGAAGGGCGCGGCAAGCUCGCGAUAAUCCCGGGGUAGGCGCAUGCGGCCUUUGAUCCCGGGGUCCCCUAAUGGGGCUUCCUGCCACGGUGAACCCGUGGCGUCCCGUAAGGGACGGGAACCCCCCGAACGGAAACAUCUUAGUAGGGGGAGGAAGAGAAAUCAACAGAGAUCCCCUGAGUAGGGGCGACCGAAAGGGGGAGAGCCCAAACCAAAUCCCCCCGGGACAACUGGGGGGAGAUGUGGGGUAGUGGGCUUGGGACACCGCCGAGGCGACCUAGCCGAAGUGGGCUGGAAAGCCCCACCAGAGAGGGUGACAGUCCCGUAGGUUAAAGGUCGUUGGCGGAUUCCCAAGUUCCGGAGUACCAUGCCUUGGUUCUGGCAUGGGAAGCUGGGGGCCACUGGCCUCCAAGGCUAAAUACGUCCCGAGACCGAUAGCGUACAAGUACCGUGAGGGAACGCUGAAAAGCACCCCGGAAGGGGGGUGAAAAGAGCCUGAAACCAGGCGGUUAAAGGAGGAGCGGCCUCAAAGGAUUCCCCGAUUCAAAGGAAACCAAGGCAACUUGGGAGUACGAGGAUCGGGGCCGGGGUCGCUCCUUACGUCUAGAAACACGGGCCAGGGAGUGCUCGCUCGUGGCGAGUUUAAGGGGGAUAAUCCCCGUAGGCGUAGGGAAACCGACCAGCCCGCAGCCGAGCAAUCGGCGAGGGGCGGGGUCUUAACGGGCCCGGAGCCACGGGCGGGCGACCCGAAACCGAGCGAUCUAUCCCGGGGCAGGGCGAAGCGGGGUGAAAGCCCCGUGGAGGCCCGAAGGGGUUCUGACGUGCAAAUCGUUCCUCUGACCCUGGGAUAGGGGCAAAAGACCAAUCAAGCUCGGUGAUAGCUGGUUCCCCCCGAAGUGGAUCUAAGUCCAGCCUCCCCAGAGGAUGCUCACGGGGUAGGGCACCGAUCUAGGGCGCAGGGGCCGAAAGGCCCCGGCUCUGGGUCGAACUUCGAACCCGUGGGCUCCGUAGAAGGGGGGAGACGGGUUUCCCGGGGGUAAGCUUGGGAACCGAGAGGGGAACAACCCAGACCGGGGUUAAGGCCCCUAAGCGCGGGCUAAGUGCUAAUCCGGAAGGGAGUCUCCCGCCGAAGACGGCGGGGCCGUAGGCCCAGCAGCAGCCAUCGGCUAAGAAGUGCGUAACAGCUUACCCGCUGAGGCGGGGGGCCCUUAAGAUGUGCGGGGCUUAAGCCCGCCGCCGAGACCCCGGGCCAUGGAUCAUUGGAUCCAUGAGCGGUAGGGGGGCGUGGCCAUGGGCUAGAAGGCGGGCCGUGAGGUCCGCUGGACCCGUGGCCAAUGCGGAUCCUGGCAGUAGUAGCAGCGUCUAGAGGAGUUAAAGGCUCCUCCGCCGGUUGGGCAAGGGUUCCAUGGCAACGACAAUCAGCCAUGGGUUAGCCGGUCCUAAGGCAGAGCCCCAUAGGCAUCUGCCGAAAGGGAAACGGGUUAAUAAUCCCGUGCCGUGGGGAUAGGUUCAGCGGCAACGCGUGCCCUGCUUCCGACGCCUCCGGAUACGGCGAGCGGGACCGCCGUCCCGUUUAACCGCCGAAGACCGGGGAGUGGCGUAAUGCCGAGAACCGGUUGAACGCGGGAAUAGCCGGGCCUUGAGCCUGGUUCGCCCGAUUCCGGGGGCCCAUGAAAAGGAAGCGGGGAACGAUUCCCCACGCCCGUACCGAGAACCGACACAGGUGCCCUGGGCUAGAAACCCAAGGCGGCUCGGGUGACCCUGGGUUAGGGAACUCGGCAAAUUGGCCCCGUAACUUCGGGAGNAGGGGUGCCUGCAGUCCUUGGCUAAACCAGGGACCGCAGGUCGCAGUGGCCAGGGGGACCUGACUGUUUAACAAAAACAUAGGUCCCCGCGAGCCCGUAAGGGUGAGUACGGGGGCUGAAUCCUGGCCACUGGCGGUACGUUAAACCCGGGUACAACCGGGCUAAGCGCCGCUGAAGGCCGGGGGUAACUCUGACCCUCUUAGCGGGGGUCCCUUCAUGUACGUAAUCAUUUUAAAUAACCCUGUGUUACUACCUGCAUGGGGGACGCGUUAAGCAAAAUUAACAUUGGGUAUGUUGUUGGAUUUAUAGAUGCAGAGGCUAGUUUCUCAGUAUCAAUAAAAUAUCAACGGGGUUAUGGUAUAAGGUUAGACCCAGUGUUCAGUGCAUCACAAUUGAAUAAGGAUCCACUAGAUGUUAUANGUAGGGUAAUCGGCGUUGGGAGGAUAAUUAGAAAGCCAGGUCAGGAACACUUAUAUCUCUACGUUGUUGAUAACAUGAGUGAGCUAGUAGAAGGCCUAAUACCAUUCCUAGACAAAUAUAGGCAUCUACUACGUUCAAAAAAGAAUGCCUACGAUUUAUUCCGGGAGAUAGUGAUCUCACUGGCUAACGGUGUUCAUAGGGAAAAGGAGGGCAAACGAAAACUCAUUAAACUUGCAUAUACCCUAUCAGCUAUUAACUCUAAAUCCCACAGGAAAAGACCUCUUGAGGAGGUAUUAAAACUCCUUGAAUCAACCUAAGUUUAAUUAAAUUCCCUCUAUGAAGGGACCCCCGGGAGAAAGGUAGCCAAAUGCCUUGCCGGGUAAGUUCCGGCGUGCAUGAAUGGAUCAACGAGGUCCCCACUGUCCCAACCCAGGUCCCGGCGAACCUGCCUCCAGGUGAACAGUCCUGGGACCCCCGAUGGGGCGAGAAGACCCUAUGGAGCUUCACUGCAGCCUGUCGUUGGGGUGGGGGAGGGGAUGCAUAGCGUAGGUAGGAGCGUUGAAACGCGGUCUCUGGGCCGCGUGGAUGCGGCAAUGAAACACUACCCAUUUCCUCCUCUGCCCCUAACCUCCCCGUGGGGGACAGCGGCAGGUGGGCAGUUCGGCUGGGGCGGCACACCUCUGAAAAGAUAUCAGAGGUGCCCUAAGCUCGGCUCAGGCGGGUUAGAAACCCGCCGUGGAGGGUAAGGCCAAAAGCCGGGCUGACUGCACCCUCGACUGCUCGGGGUGCAGGCGGGAAACCGGGGCUUAACGAACGCUCAUACCCCCUCCGGUGGGGGUUGGGCAUGUCGGAAAAGUUACCCUAGGAGUAACCGGCUCGUCGCGGGUGAGAGUUCCCAUCGACCCCGCGGUUUGGUACCCAGACGUCGUCUCUUCCCAUCCUGGGAGUGCAGCAGCUCCCAAGGGUGCGGCUGCCCGCCGAUCAAAGGGGAACGUGAGAUGGGUUCAGACCGUCGUGAGACAGGUCGGUCUCUACCUGUCGGGGGUGCUGGCUGCCUGAGGGGGAGGUGCCCUCAGUACGAGAGGAACGGGGCGCCGCGGCCUCUAGUGUACCGGUUGUCCGGUAGGGCAGUGCCGGGCAGCCACGCCGUAGGGGAUAACCGCUGAAGGCAUCUAAGCGGGAAGCUCCCCCCGAAAAUAGGCAGCCAUCCGCUUCCGGGGCGGUUCUCCGCCUCGGGGGUGGGUAGGGUUCCCGUAGAAGACGGGCUUGAUGGGGUGGGGGUGUAUCCCCCGAGGGUUUCCGAGGGGGGAGCCCGCCACUCCCAAGUACCCGGAGGUGCAGGCGA